rnacentral:rRNA from 1 species
GACGAACGCUGGCGGCGUGCUUAACACAUGCAAGUCGAACGGAAAGGCCCUGCUUUUGUGGGGUGCUCGAGUGGCGAACGGGUGAGUAACACGUGAGUAACCUGCCCUUGACUUUGGGAUAACUUCAGGAAACUGGGGCUAAUACCGGAUAGGAGCUCCUGCUGCAUGGUGGGGGUUGGAAAGUUUCGGCGGUUGGGGAUGGACUCGCGGCUUAUCAGCUUGUUGGUGGGGUAGUGGCUUACCAAGGCUUUGACGGGUAGCCGGCCUGAGCGGGUGACCGGCCACAUUGGGACUGGGAUACGGCCCAGACUCCUACGGGAGGCAGCAGUGGGGAAUAUUGCACAAUGGGCGGAAGCCUGAUGCAGCAACGCCGCGUGCGGGAUGACGGCCUUCGGGUUGUAAACCGCUUUCGCCUGUGACGAAGCGUGAGUGACGGUAAUGGGUAAAGAAGCACCGGCUAACUACGUG